AGAAGAAGAAGCAGAUGAAGAAAAAGGAGAAAAAAAUGAAAGAAAGGUCGACGACGCGCUAAUUACGGUAGAGGCCGUUCUAGUUCUAUUUGCACGGAGUCGCGAGAGAAAGUUGUCGACGCUUUUCGAGACCCUGAUCUUAGUUGAUUGACACCACUACAGGUUCCAGUGCGAGUAUUGUGGCCGAGGAUCGAGGCAAGAGCCAGCAGCCUAGCUAGUGGAC